GUGCUUGAUUUUGCAGCAUAUGUAAAAUUGGAAUGAUGCAGAGAUGAUUAUCAUGUCCCCUACAGAAGGAUGGCAUGCAAAUUCAUGAAGCAUUCUAUAUUUUU